UACGGAGGGGGGCUAGCGUUGUUCGGAAUUACUGGGCGUAAAAGCGCACGUAGGCGGCUUUGUAAGUUAGAGGUGAAAGCCCGGAGCUCAACUCCGGAAUUGCCUUUAAGACUGCAUCGCUCGAAUCAUGGAGAGGUGAGUGGAAUUCCGAGUGUAGAGGUGAAAAUUCGUAGAUAUUCGGAAGAACACCAGUGGCGAAGGCGACUCACUGGACAUGUAUUGACGCUGAGGUACGAAAGCGUGGGGAGCAAACAGG
rnacentral:rRNA from 1 species